UGGGGAAUCUUCCGCAAUGGACGAAAGUCUAACGGAGCAACGCCGCGUGAGUGAUGACGGCCUUCGGGUUGUAAAGCUCUGUUAAUCGGGACGAAUGGUUCUUGUGCGAAUAGUGCGAGGAUUUGACGGUACCGGAAUAGAAAGCCACGGCUAACUACGUGCCAGCAGCCGCGGUAAUACGUAGGUGGCAAGCGUUGUCCGGAAUUAUUGGGCGUAAAGCGCGCGCAGGCGGAUUGGUCAGUCUGUCUUAAAAGUUCGGGGCUUAACCCCGUGAUGGGAUGGAAACUGCCAAUCUAGAGUAUCGGAGAGGAAAGUGGAAUUCCUAGUGUAGCGGUGAAAUGCGUAGAUAUUAGGAAGAACACCAGUGGCGAAGGCGACUUUCUGGACGAAAACUGACGCUGAGGCGCGAAAGCCAGGGGAGCGAACGGG
rnacentral:rRNA from 1 species